rnacentral:rRNA from 1 species
GAUGAACGCUGGCGGUAUGCUUAACACAUGCAAGUCGAACGGACUCUUCGGAGUUAGUGGCGGACGGGUGAGUAACGCGUGAGAAUCUGGCUUUGGGUUCGGGACAACCACUGGAAACGGCGGCUAAUACCGGAUGUGCCGAGAGGUAAAAGAGAAAUUGCCUGAAGAUGAGCUCGCGUCUGAUUAGCUAGUUGGUGAGGUAAAGGCUCACCAAGGCAGCGAUCAGUAGCUGGUCUGAGAGGAUGACCAGCCACACUGGGACUGAGACACGGCCCAGACUCCUACGGGAGGCAGCAGUGGGGAAUUUUCCGCAAUGGGCGAAAGCCUGACGGAGCAAUACCGCGUGAGGGAAGAAGGCUCUUGGGUUGUAAACCUCUUUUCUUAGGGAAGAACAAAAUGACGGUACCUAAGGAAUCAGCAUCGGCUAACUCCGUG